CAAUCAGAAUCUCCCGGCAGUUGGUUCCCGGAGGCAGAAUCUGUUAAACUGACAAAGCCCACGUCUCCGGGUCCCUGUCUCGGGGAGUCGGGACUAUUGGGUCACCCCGGGUAGUCGAGACUCUAGACUGAGCUGUCUCGGUCACUCAGGAGGCAGUUGGCAGAGUAUUCGUGGUCAGGGAGGUGACCCGUGGUCAGCAGGGUCAGGCCACCCAGGGACAAAGGGUGCUCCUGCACCGGGCCUUGGAGAAGGACAGAGCGGUGGGGACUUGGGGUCAGCGGGGGAGCCUCCGCGGAUGGGGAGUCACCACCUGCCGCUUGAAAGGGAUGUGCAUUUAGUAAUGAGAUUUGCUCAGCAGCGUAGUCAGCUGUGUGGUGCAUUCUCAGCUGUGCCUCAGCAGCCCUGAUGCAGACAUCCAGAAGGAGCACAGCCACUUUAUCCAGAGCAAUCAGCCAUGACUGCCUUUGCACUGUCCAUGCUCUCAGCCCACCACCUCCUCCCCCUGCCAUUGCAGUGGCUAACACUGGAGACGAAGACCAAGACACCACAGCCUUUCUCCAGUACCUCUCAAAUCAGCACAGACAAGGACAAAGGCCUCAAUCCACAACUGCUGAAGAUGGACCCUGGCCACAUGGGAUGGUCAGACACGCCUGCCCAGCUAUCUGCAGGCGAAGAGGCUCAGAAGAGGUUUAGGGGCCUGAAGGACAUCUUGCUUCCAUGUCCAUAUGAGCAGGCUAUUUCUGCUCCAUGAGUCAAUUUUGCCAUAUAAAAUACUUAAUUUCAGCCAUUCCAGGGUGCUAUAGGAUGCACAGCUUCCCAUCAGCCCACCUGAACUCCAGCCAUGCCAUUUUAAUACCAGGAAUAAGGUCACCUGCUUUCCUGCCCCUUAGGAGGCCGGAGCCGUGGAAGCAAAAUGGCACUUCUGUUUACCUGUUAUAUUAUUUUUUUGUCAUCCUUAUAUGUUUGAAAAAUGCAAUUAUAUGAAAAAAGUUUAGUAAUUACAGACAUAACAGCAGAAAGUCCUCGGAACCAAGCUUAUUCUCAUGGCCGAUUCUGCUCCACCUGGGACUCUGCUGUGCUGCGGGCAUCCUGUGGUCAGAAUCGCAGAGGGGCCAUCAGGGAGGACCUUCCCAGAGGAUGGACCUCACGUGACUGCUGCGUGGGCAAGUGGCACUGGCCACUCUGCCUGGAGAGAGGAGUAAAUGCAGGGCUGGCCAGGCGACCUGCACACUCUGCUACCGGCCUUGUCCAUCUUUAGCCUCUAAUUUGAAAAUGAGGAUCACACAGACCAAGAGUAUCUUUGAGGGUUAGUACAGACCACAGAAAUGCCCUGGGCCUUUCACUCUCUCCUUUUGCAAAUUCCCAUGUGUGGAAAUGCCGUUUGGAUAAUGAGGGAGCCUGAAGGAGGUGGACACAUGAGCAGCCCCGACAGGCCUGGCUCCAUCCUCUGAAAAUGGGGCCCCGUGCCCGGCGUGUGGCCUUACUGGUUCAGUCUUCUUUACAGUGGUAGGUUUUGAGUGCCCAGAUGCCCAGUGCCUCCUACCCGGAACAGGACAGGACCAGGCUGUCCCCUGGAAGAAUCCCAUGCACACUUGGCUAUUCAGGGAGUUUCCACCCAGCCGAGCUCGCCUCUGUGGCUACCCUGGUCUUGCUGCUCAUAUCUGCCAGGAAAGGCCUGGACUUGGAGAGAAACCUGGGAUUUGGAUUCAGUCCUUGCCAGCCUGGCUGGUUCAUAUCCUUACCUCUGUCUGUGGAAGCCUAUGUUCCUGAGCAGCGAGUCAGAGGGGGCAUCUGAACGCAGAGCAGGGAGCUUCAGAUGGGAAGAAGUCAGAGGAACCAGAAUGUAUCAGACGAUGUGGAGUUGGGUGCCUGAGCUCAAAGCAAGCUGGGCCUUGGGCUGGCUGUGUGAUCUUGGGCAAGUUCGACCAGCUUCUUUGUGCCUCUUUUCUCUCCUUAAUAAGAUAAAUGUCUUCACUAGUACACUGGGAAUCCAGCCAUCAUCUGAGGAAGCAGUUCAUGUCGCAGCAAAGGAAGUUCUGUUCUCACCACAGCCCCUAUCUUCUGGAAGCAGCUGUCGUAAUUGAAAGGUGGAAUGGCUUAGAUUUGGUUAUGACACCCUAUAAGGAUGGAGUUCUGUUUUACCUGAUGCAUCACCGUCCCCACCAUGUUCUUCCUGACUUCGAAGCAGUCUGGUGACCCCAGGCAGGAACUGACUAGCAUGAGAGUCUUGAUGCAGGAGAAUUUUUGAAGAAAUUCAGAAGCAGAACCGAAAGGAGGAGAGAAGGUGGAGGUGGGAAAGCUGACAGCUGGAGACUGGGGAGGGCCCUUUGAGGCCUGGGAGAGAAUAUGUGGAUGGUGGGGAGACCUUUCCCAGCAUUUUGGUAAAGGCUCCGUCAGUGCCCUGUCCUCGUGUUGGGGUCCCCCUCUCACAAAGUAUCUUUUCCACCUUUAGCCACCUCCACCCUGUCCACUAACCUUCAGUGGGAACAGCAGAUGCAACUGGCGGGGCUGAACCCUCCAUCAACUCCCAUGUAUUCAGUGUCCCUCAGGAAAUGUCCAAAAUCUGCAGCAGAAAAAUGUAACUCAGAAAAUUAGCACUGGAUGCCGGGGUUUCCAUGGUGACUGAAGACUCUGCCACCUGGUCCACCCCUGUUAUGACCACAGUGGGCCCCAAUCUAAUGUUGCCAUCAAGAGUGAUAGCCCAGAUGUGCUGGAUGUGACUAGCAGGAACAAGGAGAAAUGCAGCCCUUAGCUGCGGGGGCGGCGCUCCAUUUUGCUAAGGAAUAGCUUAUGCUUUGGACAAGGGAAGCCGGCUCUGUUGUCCCCAACUGCCCACCUUGCCACAGGGGCAGCAGGGACUGGGAGAAGAGAGUGUGGAGUCUGUUACCGAGCUCCUCUGAGAAACAGACGCCAAAACUAAAUUGCAGGGGUUUUAGGAGGGAACAGACAUAAUGAAAAGAAUGAGAAAAAACUGGGAAACAGCAGGCAGUGAGAUGGAGUGAGAACUGGAAUAAGGUUUAAGCCUGCAACAUCUGAAGCCCUGGACCUGGAACCGGAGACUCCCACCAGCCACUAUACCUGUGAACCCGUAGAAGACCUGAACUACCUAUUUAAAAGACAGUCAAAAGAUAAGUAAAUGCCUACCAAUUUUCCCUGGUGUAA
rnacentral:lncRNA from 1 species